GUAGGGUGCAAGCGUUAUCCGGAAUCAUUGGGCGUAAAGAGCUCGUAGGCGGUUCAGCAAGUCGGCUGUGAAAUCCCGAGGCUUAACCUCGGAACUGCAGUCGAUACUGCUGUGACUAGAGUCCGGUAGAGGAGAAUGGAAUUCCCGGUGUAGCGGUGAAAUGCGCAGAUACCGGGAGGAACACCAGUAGCGAAGGCGGUUCUCUGGGCCGGUACUGACGCUGAGGAGCGAAAGCGUGGGUAGCAAACAGGAUUAGAUACCCUGGUAGUCCACGCCGUAAACGUUGGACACUAGGUGUGGCGUUCCGACCAACGGGUGCCCGUGCCGAAGCUAACGCAUUAAGUGUCCCCGCCUGGGGAGUACGGCCGCAAGGCUA
rnacentral:rRNA from 1 species